rnacentral:tRNA from 1 species
GCAGCUGUGGUUCAGUGGUAGAACGCUCACCUAGCAUGCGUGAAGGCACUGGGUUCAAUCCUCAGCACCACA